rnacentral:rRNA from 1 species
UACGGGGGGGGUAAGCGUUGUUCGGAAUUACUGGGCGUAAAGGGCUCGUAGGCGGCCAACUAAGUCAUACGUGAAAUCCCUCAGCUUAACUGGGGAACUGCGUGUGAUACUGGAUGGCUUGGAUUUGGGAGAGGGAUGCGGAAUUCCAGGUGUAGCGGUGAAAUGCGUAGAUAUCGGGAAGAACACCCGUGGCGAAGGCGGUUCUCUGGGACGGUACUGACGCUGAGACGCGAAAGCGUGGGGAGCGAACAGG